rnacentral:tRNA from 1 species
AGGGGUAUAGCUCAGUUGGUAGAGCACUGGAUUCCAAAUCCAGGUGUCGAGGGUUCAAGUCCUUCUGCCCCUGCCA